GAGGUGAGCGAGCUUGUAGAAUAAUGCUAGGUCCAUAAUCUCCUGCUCAACUUUGCCAAGACGGAGGAAAUGAUUGUGGAUUUCAGAAGAUCCUAGGAACCAUAAGACAUAACCUCCCUGACCAAGAAGGCCAUGCGGCAAACUCAAUUCCUGUGGUGCUUCACACAGGACAGACUGCCACCUCCCAUCCUGUCCACGUUUUACAGAGGCAUCAUCAAGAGGGUCCUUGCAAACUGUGUCAUGGCCUGGUUCAGGUUCUACAAUGCCUCAGAUCACCAGGUCCUCUAGUAGGCCAUGAACACAGCAGUGAAGAUUGCUAGGACCACACUGCCUUCUCUAUGAAACAUCUGUACUGACUGUUGCCUACAGACCCUUACGAAACAAAAAUAUAUUGUAAUGUAUGAAAAAUGUACUGCAAUAUAUUAAACAGUAUAUUGUAAUAUA